rnacentral:rRNA from 1 species
AGAAUCCCGUCCACCGAUUGACUAAGGUUUCCAGAGGAAGGCUCGUCCGCUCUGGGUUAGUCGGGUCCUAAGCUGAGGCCGACAGGCGUAGGCGAUGGAUAACAGGUUGAUAUUCCUGUACCACCUAUAAUCGUUUUAAUCGAUGGGGGGACGCAGUAGGAUAGGCGAAGCGUGCGAUUGGAUUGCACGUCUAAGCAGUAAGGCUGAGUAUUAGGCAAAUCCGGUACUCAUUAAGGCUGAGCUGUGAUGGGGAGAAGACAUUGUGUCUUCGAGUCGUUGAUUUCACACUGCCGAGAAAAGCCUCUAGAUAGAAAAUAGGUGCCCGUACCGCAAACCGACACAGGUAGUCAAGAUGAGAAUUCUAAGGUGAGCGAGCGAACUCUCGUUAAGGAACUCGGCAAAAUGACC